rnacentral:rRNA from 1 species
UACGUAGGGUGCAAGCGUUUAAUCGGAAUUACUGGGCGUAAAGCGUGCGCAGGCGGUUAUGUAAGACAGUUGUGAAAUCCCCGGGCUCAACCUGGGAACUGCAUCUGUGACUGCAUAGCUAGAGUACGGUAGAGGGGGGAUGGAAUUCCGCGUGUAGCAGUGAAAUGCGUAGAUAUGUGGAGGAAUACCGAUGGCGAAGGCAGCCCCCCUGGGAUAACACUGACGCUCAUGCACGAAAGCGUGGGUAGCAAACAGG